GUCCUUCGUGGUGUAGCCCUAGAAUGGUAAUAGGCUUCUAGACACUCAAAUGGAUAUAAAUGAACAAAGCCAUGAAGACAGAAGAUCUAUUAAGAUGCAUUCCAGGGAGACCAGUGGAUGUGAAACCAAGUGUCAAGGACCGAUACUACAAAUAUCUCCAUAAGGCCACUAAGUCCAUGUACAGGUUUGGAAGUAUUGCAAAGUACUGGAACACCCUUGUCUAAUGAGGUUCCACAGAAAGCCACAAAAAGAAUGUGCCUCCCAUAUCCAAGGUGUGUUAACACCUAACAGC